GAUGAACGCUGGCGGCGUGCUUAACACAUGCAAGUCGAACGAUGAAGCCCAGCUUGCUGGGUGGAUUAGUGGCGAACGGGUGAGUAACACGUGAGUAACCUGCCCUUAACUCUGGGAUAAGCCUGGGAAACUGGGUCUAAUACCGGAUAGGAGCGUCCACCGCAUGGUGGGUGUUGGAAAGAUUUAUCGGUUUUGGAUGGACUCGCGGCCUAUCAGCUUGUUGGUGAGGUAAUGGCUCACCAAGGCGACGACGGGUAGCCGGCCUGAGAGGGUGACCGGCCACAAUGGGGCAGAGAAACAGACGAGACUCAUACGGGAGGCAGCAGUGGGGAAGAUUGCACAAUGGGCGCAAGCCUGAUGCAGCGACGCAGAGGGAGGGAUGACGGACUUAGGGUUGUAAACCACUAUGAGUAGGGAAGAAGCGAAAGUGAAGGUACCUGCAGAAGAAGCACCGGCUAACUACGUG
rnacentral:rRNA from 1 species